CGGGUGGCAAGCGGCGAACGGCUGAGGAACACGUCAGUACCUGCCCCGAACUCAGGGAUAAGCACCGGAAACGGUGUCUAAUACCGGAUACCCAGAUAAUGGAAAGGAUUUAUCGGUUCGGGAGGGGCUUGCGGCGUAUCAGCUUGUUUGUGAGGUAAUGGCUCACCAAGGCUAUGACGCGUAUCUGGUGUGAGAGCAUGACCAGACAGAGUGGGACUGAGACACGGCCCACACUCCUACGGGAGGCAGCAGUGAGGAAUUUUCCGCAAUGGACGAAAGUCUGACGGAGCAAUCCCGCGUGGAGGAUGACACCUUUCGGGGCGUAAACUCCUUUUCUGAGGGAAGAAAUUCUGACGGUACCUCAGGAAUAAGCAUCGGCUAAUUAUGUGCCAGCAGCCGCGGUAAUACAUAAGAUGCGAGCGUUAUCCGGAAUUAUUGGGCGUAAAGCGUUCGAAGGCGGAAAAGUAAGUGAAAUAUUAAAUCCCUACGGCUCAACCGAGGUUCCGUAUUUCAAACUGCUUUUCUUGAGAUAUGCAGAGGAAACUGGAAUUCCCAUUGGAGGGGUAAAAUCCGUAGAUAAUGGGAGGAACACCAAAAGCGAAGGCAGGUUUCUGGGCAUUUUCUGACGCUGCGCGAACGAAAGCGUGGGGAGCGAAAGGGAUUAGAUACCCCUGUAGCCCACGCCGUAAACGAUGAUUACUCGAUGUACGCCGGUAUCAAUCCCGGUGUGUGUCCAAGCUAGCGCGUUAAGUAAUCCGCCUGGGGAGUACGGCCGCAAGGUUAAAACUCAAAGGAAUAGACGGGGAUCCACACAAGCGGUGGAGCAUGGGGUUUAAUUCGAUAAUAAGCGAGGAACCUUACCGGGGCUUGACAUCCUGCGAAGUCUUGAGAGAUCGAGAUGUGCCUUCGGGAACGCAGUGACAGGUGCUGCAUGGUUGUCGUCAGCUCGUGCCUUGAGGUGUGCGGUUAAGUCCGUGAACGAGCGCAACCCUCGUCGUGUGUUGUAUUUUUCACACGAGACUGCCCGUUUUACGCGGGAGGAAGGUGAGGAUGACGUCAAAUCAGCAUGGCCCUUAUGUCCCGGGCGACACCCGUGCUACAAUGGCCGACACAAAGGGCAGCCAACCCGCGAGGGGGGGCGAAUCCCAAAAAGUCGGUCUCAGUUCGGAUUGGAGUCUGCAACUCGACUCCAUGAAGUUGGAAUCGCUAGUAACCGUGAAUCAGCCAUGUCACGGUGAAUAUGUUCCUGGAUCUUGUACUCACCGCCCGUCAAGUCACGAAAGGUGGGGGCGCCCGAAGCCGUCUUAUCCCGCAAGGGAGGAUGACCACGGUGAAACCACUGAUUGGGACUAAGUCGUAACGAGGUA
rnacentral:rRNA from 1 species